rnacentral:rRNA from 1 species
UACGUAGGCAGCGAGCGUUGUUCGGAGUUACUGGGCGUAAAGGGUGUGUAGGCGGCUGUUUAAGUUUGGUGUGAAAUCUCCCGGCUCAACUGGGAGGGUGCGCCGAAUACUGAAUGACUUGGAGUGCGGGAGAGGAAAGUGGAAUUCCUGGUGUAGCGGUGAAAUGCGUAGAUAUCAGGAGGAACACCGGUGGUGUAGACGGCUUUCUGGACCGUAACUGACGCUGAGACACGAAAGCGUGGGUAGCAAACAGG